UGGAUAUAUAUAACUUAUCAAUAAGUAAUUACUAAUUUGCUAUACGUUAAAUAGUAUAUGUUGUGAUGUAUACACAUUAGUUGGGGUACGCGUACAUCUCAUCUCUAUUUUUAAGGUUUGUUAGGUAUUCCAACACAGUGGUCAAAUCAAUAUCCUGUGUUUGCCCCUUUGAAGCUGGGACUUUCGGUUUCGGCUGUAUUUGUCGAUAACUUUCCUCGGAAAUGUCUAAUGACUCCUGAUCAUCUUGAGGUUGGCCCGCUGCGUUGUAUUUGCAUAGCAUGCGACUAAUAAUAAUCAUUGUGACCACACAGAAAACAGCACCAAGACCACUAAAAAUUACAGAGUAAGGAUCGAUCAAGGUUACGUCUUUUUCU
rnacentral:lncRNA from 1 species